rnacentral:rRNA from 1 species
GAUGAACGCUGGCGGCGCGCCUAACACAUGCAAGUCGAACGAUUAAAGCACCUUCGGGUGUGUAUAAAGUGGCGAACGGCUGAGUAACACGUGGGCAACCUGCCCCUUUCAUUGGGAUAGCCACGGGAAACCGUGGAUAAUACCGAAUACUUCGAGACUUCCGCAUGGAAGACUCGAGAAAGCUCCGGCGGAGAGGGAUGGGCCCGCGGCCUGUUAGCUUGUUGGUGGGGUAACGGCCUACCAAGGCAAUGAUGGGUAGCUGGGUUGAGAGACCGACCAGCCAGAUUGGGACUGAGAAACGGCCCAGACUCCUACGGGAGGCAGCAGGGGGGAAUCUUGCACAAUGGGCGAAAGCCUGAUGCAGCGACGCCGCGUGCGGGAUGAAGGCCUUCGGGUUGUAAACCGCUUUCAGCAGGGACGAGGCGAAAGUGACGGUACCUGCAGAAGAAGCCCCGGCUAACUACGUG